AUGAAGCCGGAAUUGCUAGUAAUGGCAGGUCAGCAUACUGCCGUGAAUACGUUCCCGGGCCUUGUACACACCGCCCGUCACACCAUGAGAGUUGGGAAUACCCGAAGCCUGUGAGCUAACUUUAGGGAGGCAGCAGUCGAAGGUAGAAUCAAUGAUUGGGGUGAAGUCGUAACAAGGUACC
rnacentral:rRNA from 1 species